rnacentral:pre_miRNA from 1 species
UCACAGGGCAAUCUGUUUUGAAGUAGGAGUAAAUUGCUCAUUAAAAAACCAGAAUCCUAGAUAGUUUCCCCUUUAAGUCAAGUGUCUUGU